GAAUGUCGUCAGCAAUUUUGUUUUGCGCUACUUCCGAAACGAAAAUCGAACCAUCAUAAACGAAAAAAUUGACGAUGCCGUCAAAACAAGUCCGUGUUCAAGAUAAAAUCGAAAUUUAGGAAAUAUUUAACGAUAAUUAAAAAUAGUUGUUUCACUUGAAGAAAGUUAUGAAAUUAAAAUUGUUAAAUUGCUCGAAAUCAAUAGAAAAGGAGUAAAGUGGGCCAUUGUGUAUAAUUUACGUGAAAGCAGUGGCAAAAACGAGAUAAAAAGCAGUGAAAGAUAGACGAAAAGUGAAACGAAUGAAAAAGUAUAUAACUGCUAAUUAAAUAGUAAAUUAUUCAACAGUGAGCAAGGAGCAAAAGUAAAGUACAGCCAUACAAAAGACCUCGUCAGGCAGGUGGACGCCCCACUAGCGACGUCCAUCUCUAAAAUCUAAAGCUGGGACUGAUUUUUGUACCUAAGCUGAACCUGCCACUACCCUUCCAAGGGCGAACAAACUGACCGACCUUCUCUGAGUCGACGACGGCCAAUUUAUGUUUGUUGAGAAAUCGUUUCAAAUUCGAAGCUGAAUAAGGUAAUACAAAAUUGAUUGCCCCACUUUUAUUAGGACAUCGCCCUG